rnacentral:rRNA from 1 species
UACGGAGGGUGCGAGCGUUAAUCGGAAUUACUGGGCGUAAAGGGUGCGUAGGUGGUUUGAUAAGUUAUCUGUAAAAGCCCAGGGCUCAACCUUGGAAGGCCAGAUAAGACUGUUAGACUAGAGUAUGGGAGAGGGUAGUGGAAUUUCCGGUGUAGCGGUGAAAUGCGUAGAGAUCGGAAGGAACACCAGUGGCGAAGGCGGCUACCUGGCCUGAUACUGACGCUGAAGCACGAAAGCGUGGGGAGCAAACAGG